rnacentral:lncRNA from 1 species
ACACACCUCAGAGACAAAGACAGACACUACCUCAGAGUGAAAGGCUGGAAAACAACUUUCCAAGCAAAUGGUCAGAAGAAGCAAGCUGGAGUAGCCAUUCUAAUAUCAAAUAAAAUCAAUUUCCGACUAAAAGUCAUCAAAAAAGAUAAGGAAGGACACUUCAUAUUCAUCAAAGGAAAAAUCCACCAAGAUGAACUCUCAAUCCUAAAUAUCUAUGCCCCAAAUACAAGGGCACCUACAUACGUAAAAGAAACCUUACUAAAGCUCAAAACACACAUUGCACCUCACACAAUAAUAGUGGGAGAUUUCAACACCCCACUCUCAUCAAUGGACAGAUCAUGGAAACAGAAAUUAAACAGUGAUGUAGACAGACUAAGAGAAGUCAUGAGCCAAAUGGACUUAACGGAUAUUUAUAGAACAUUCUAUCCUAAAGCAAAAGGAUAUAACUUCUUCUCAGCUCCUCAUGGUACUUUCUCCAAAAUUGACCAUAUAAUUGGUCAAAAAACGGGCCUCAACAGGUACAGAAAGAUAGAAAUAAUUCCAUGCGUGCUAUCGGAGCACCACGGCCUAAAACUGGUCUUCAAUAACAAUAAGGGAAGAAUGCCCACAUAUACGUGGAAAUUGAACAAUGCUCUACUCAAUGAUAACCUGGUCAAGGAAGAAAUAAAGAAA